rnacentral:rRNA from 1 species
GACGUAGGGCGCGAGCGUUGUCCGGAUUUAUUGGGCGUAAAGAGCUCGUAGGCGGCUCGUUGCGUCGGCUGUGAAAACCCGCAGCUCAACUGUGGGCUUGCAGCUGAUACGGGCGGGCUUGGAUUCGGUAGGGGAGACUGGAAUUCCUGGUGUAGCGGUGAAAUGCGCAGAUAUCAGGAGGAACACCGGUGGCGAAGGCGGGUCUCUGGGCCGUAACUGACGCUGAGGAGCGAAAGCAUGGGGAGCGAACAGG